rnacentral:rRNA from 2 species
GCGAAACUGCGAAUGGCUCAUUAUAUAAGUUAUCGUUUAUUUGAUAGUACCUUACUACUUGGAUAACCGUGGUAAUUCUAGAGCUAAUACAUGCUGCCGACCCCGACUCCGGAAGGGCGUAUUUAUUAGAUCCAAAGCCAAGCCUCCUGGGCUCCUUGGUGAUUCAUGAUAACUCUUCGAAUCGCACGGCCUUGCGCCGGCGAUGGUUCAUUCAAAUUUCUUCCCUAUCAACUUUCGAUGUUUGGGUAUUGGCCAAACAUGGUCGCAACGGGUAACGGAGGGUUAGGGCUCGACCCCGGAGAAGGAGCCUGAGAGACGGCUACUACAUCCAAGGAAGGCAGCAGGCGCGCAAAUUACCCAAUCCCGACACGGGGAGGUAGUGACAAUAAAUACUGAUACAGGGCUCUUUAGGGUCUUGUAAUUGGAAUGAGUACAGUUUAAACCCCUUAGCGAGGAACAAUUGGAGGGCAAGUCUGGUGCCAGCAGCCGCGGUAAUUCCAGCUCCAAUAGCGUAUAUUAAAGUUGUUGUGGUUAAAAAGCUCGUAGUUGAACCUUGGGCCUGGCUGGCCGGUCCGCCUCACCGCGUGCACUGGUCCGGCCGGGCCUUUCCCUCUGCGGAACCCCAUGCCCUUCGCUGGGCGUGGCGGGGAGGCAGGACGUUUACUUUGAAAAAAUUAGAGUGCUCAAGGCAGGCCUAUGCUCGGAUACAUUAGCAUGGAAUAAUGAAACAGGACGCGCGGUUCCGUUUCUUGGCUCUAGGACCGCCGUAAUGAUCGAUAGGGACAGUCGGGGGCAUCAGUAUUCAGCUGUCAGAGGUGAAAUUCUUGGAUUUGCUGAAGACUAACUACUGCGAAAGCAUUUGCCAAGGAUGUUUUCAUUAAUCAGGAACGAAAGUUAGGGGAUCGAAGACGAUCAGAUACCGUCGUAGUCCUAACCAUAAACUAUGCCGACUAGGGAUCGGACGAUGUUGUCUCUUGACGCGUUCGGCACCUUGCGAGAAAUCAAAGUGCUUGGGCUCCAGGGGGAGUAUGGUCGCAAGGCUGAAACUUAAAGAAAUUGACGGAAGGGCACCACCAGGGGUGGACGCUGCGGCUUAAUUUGACUCAACACGGGGAAACUCACCAGGUCCAGACACAACGAGGAUUGACAGAUUGAGAGCUCUUUCUUGAUUUUGUGGGUGGUGGCGCAUGGCCGUUCUUAGUUGGUGGAGUGAUUUGUCUGCUUAAUUGCGAUAACGAACGAGACCUUGACCUGCUAACUAGCCGGCCCAGGCGGCGC